UCCUUCGUGGCUCAGUUGGUAAAGAAUCUGCCUGCAAUGCAGGAGACCUGGGUUUGAUCUCUGCGUUGGAA
rnacentral:tRNA from 1 species